CCCAAAGACGAGGAUCGCAAGACCUGUCGUUUAGAGAUGAGCUCAUGUCCUAUCAACUUGUUGGUGAGGUAACGGCCCACCAAGGCGAAGACGGGUAGCUGGUCUGAGAGGACGACCAGCCGCACUGGGACUGAGAUACUGCCCAGACUCCUACGGGAGGCUGCAGUCGAGGAUCAUUCGCAAUGGGGGAAACCCUGACGAUGCGACGCUGCGUGGAGGACGACGGCUUUCGGGUUGUAAACUCCUGUCAUGAGGGAAGAGGGGAGGGCGGGUAAUACCCGCGCCGACUUGACGGUACCUCAAGAGGAAGCCACGGCUAACUCUGUGCCAGCAGCCGCGGUAAUACAGAGGUGGCGAGCGUUGUUCGGAUUUACUGGGCGUAAAGGGCGCGUAGGCGGCCGUGUGUGUGGGGUGUGAAAUCUCCGGGCUCAACCCGGAAAGUGCGCCCCAAACUGCACGGCUCGAGUUCGGGAGGGGGGAUCGGAAUACAGGGUGUAGCGGUGAGAUGCGUUGAUAUCCUGUAGAACACCGGUGGCGAAGGCGGAUCCCUGGAACGAAACUGACGCUGAGGCGCGAAAGCAAGGGGAGCAAACAGGAUUAGAUACCCUGGUAGUCCUUGCCUUAAACGGUGCACACUUGACGCGGGGGGAUUUCACCCCCCCCGUGUCGGAGCUAACGCGUAA
rnacentral:rRNA from 1 species